UACGUAGGGUGCAAGCGUUAAUCGGAAUUACUGGGCGUAAAGCGUGCGCAGGCGGUUGUGCAAGACAGAUGUGAAAUCCCCGGGCGUCAACCUGGGAACUGCAUUUGUGACUGCAUGGCUAGAGUGCGGCAGAGGGGGAUGGAAUUCCGCGUGUAGCAGUGAAAUGCGUAGAGAUGUGGAGGAACACCGAUGGCGAAGGCAGCCCCCUGGGUCGACACUGACGCUCAUGCACGAAAGCGUGGGGAGCAAACAGGAUUAGAAACCCC
rnacentral:rRNA from 1 species